UGAAUGCACAAAAGACCUCUACACGUUCUAACAAAUUUAUUUCCCACUAAAUCCUUCUUUUCCCUCUCUUUCUCUAUCUAAACAGAGAGAAAGGGAGAUUUAUCUCUCUCUAAAAUCUUCCAAACCUAUCCAAAUCCUACCUAAGCCUUACCUCACCCAUAUCAUCCAUACAAAAAAAUUACAUGCUUUCUUUCUCACAUUUACUCUCUCUAGAAAGAGAUCUCUCUCUUAAAAAAUAAUAAAUUUAGUAAAUAAAAAAUAUAUAAAUGAUAAUUUUAGCAAAAAUAAUUUCAAUAAGAAAUAUGUGUUAUGAUGUGUUGCAUUUGCUCGUAGAUUAGUUGCUCCGACCACGUCGUUGCCUCGUUAAGCAUGUAGGUAUAAUGCUUCAUAAAUCUGAAUAACUCCAAAACAUGCUAUAAUGCAUUCGAUGCGGCGAGUGGAAACCCUAUGUAGGGCAAAUCUUAUAUACGCUUUUCUUAUCGUUGUUGAAGGAGCCUCGUCAGUGGCUUGUGUGAUGUAAAAUGUUGUUUUGGGCUAACCUAAAAUUUCUCAUAUAAGUACCACAUAUACACCUUUCUUGGUGAUGAGAUUACAAAAUUUUGACCGUGGUGCCACUCAACAAUGGUCGUACAUUUUUUUCUUAGCACGGUGGUUAGGCCCAACUCCCAAAAUUUCUCCCACAUAGAGGAGACUCUUGGAGGUUGCCGGAAUUUUAACUAAAUUUUGGGACUUAGAAAUUUUUGCACUAUAGAAACAAAACUUAUAACUUUCAGAGACAUGGACUUGCAUUCUUAGGGACUCAGACUUACAAAUUCUAAAUACAUAAGCAACUAAAAUACAAAUUAAGAUACUUAUAAUGAAAUGCCAGUAAAUAAGAAUCAAAGUGAAAAUAGCAGGGAACAUGAUAUAGAACCUACAGGGAACUGAAAUUGGUAAUUCGCUCAAGCAUGGGUAAAAUUACAAAACCCUAAACAAAUCAGAAUUUAAAUGGAAAGCUAAGCCAGUAAGGAUGGGACACGUGUCCUCUAAUUGAUAGUUUCAUAGCCAAAUAAUACCACAGGUAAAUGUUCUGACUGGAGCUCACAGUAACCAACCCCUAUUAUUCUGAUAUUCUAUUGUAUUCAAUUAAAUGAUUGAAGCAUGGCAGGCUCGCUAAGUAGUUGAUGUCAGGUUUCUUGGUUUCUUUGAAUGAAGUUUAUAAUAUAUGUGAAACUUCAUAUAUUAAUUUGAACUUAAUGAUUUAUUGUAUGAUAUUUUUCAACCUGUUGCUUGCAUCAUUGUUUUUAACGUCCAUUUUAUCUUGAAUCAUCAUAUAUUUACCAUGGGAUGUUUCUUUGAGAAUAAGUUCAGAUAAGCAUCAUGUCAAAAUGCAUAUCACGGUACUGCUCACCUAUUAUAGAGCGGGUCCUGUACUGCUGUGACAUGUUUACGAUAUGAGUAAUGUGACAUUGCCAAAAUGAUUUUGGAUUUAUUAAUGGUUGAUAAGAAUGAUAGCCAUAACCUUAAAAUAAGAUGGUAGAAAUAAAAUGAUAUCGUAAUAUCAUGGCAGUUACAUAAUUAUUGCCAUAACUUUAUAAUACAGUGACAGCAUAUGUGAAUGAACAAGCGCACCAUUUUUUACUUUAUUUUAAUUUAGACAAUAAAAUUUCAUUAUCCAUGUUCUUCUGCAACAUUAAUCGAUUGCAUUCAGACAACUUCUCACCACAGAAUUUCAGGAUAUGAUGAUGGACAUGUUUUUCUUCCUCUCCUUUAUAAAUAUAUUAUAACAGUGUUUUGAAAAAAUAUGGUAAUUCAGUAUUCUUGUUUUGUUCAUUAUUGUGUUUUGGAUCCAUUUCAAGUUGAUAUGUUCAACAAUCACCAAGUUAUCACAAAUGAAUUAUUCAAAGGCUUAGGCUUCCCUUAAUAAUGGUAUGUUUCCCUGUCAUAUUGUUUGGUAUGAAAUGAAGUCAGUUUUACUUAUUUAGAUUUGAAAAAAUUGCUUUGCUUGUAUAUGGUCCGUGGUGGUGAGCCAUGGCGAAGGCGCACAUCCAGUUGCUGCCACAUAUUUUGAAAUGCAAAGCAGCUGAAAAAUUUGACAAAAUUAGUGUAAAACUAUUGCUUCUUGUGAGUGAGGAUCUGCAAUCACUUGGGAUUAUUCGAGUACUCACCUGAAUGCUGAUAGUUUCCAUCAUGAAAUCAAGCACUUACCGAUGUUGGUUCGGAAAUGGAAAUCUCAGUUUUUGGACUAAUCAGAAUCUUAGUUGUUUAUCAUCACUUCAAAGCAUGCUAUUUUAAAGUUUGUUAUAAUUGUUUUAUGGAUUUUUUGUGCUUUUCUCACUGUCUUUUUUAAUCACUUGUUCAGCGCCAAGGAGGGUUGCUUUAGAAGUUGGUGCACAGCUUGGUGAAGAAGUGGGCUAUGCCAUACGGUUUGAAGAUCAAACAUCUGAUAAAAUUUGCAUGAAGUAUCUCACUGAUGGUGUUCUUCUCCGUGAAAGCCUCUCUAAUCCUAGAUUGGAUCAAUAUUCAGUCAUAAUUCUUGAUGAAGCUCGUGAGAGAAGCUUAAACACGUAUGCCUCUUUCAAACAGUUACUGCUUUAUAUUCAUUACCAUUACAACACGAAGUAUUCUUCUGCGUUUUUGCUGUUUAACACGAUACUUGAUACCUGAAUGGUUGUUUUGACAGUUAUACACGAAGGACAAAUUUUGGAAUUUUUUUGUUAUUAUGGAACAUUGUAUACAUGCUCUUUAGGAGAGUGGUUUAUUUAAAUACUGGAAUGGAAUUUUUUUUUUUAAUUAUAUCAAUGACACACUACUGAUUUUACUUAAAUAAUAAAUCAUAGUUUGCAUGAUUA